ACUCCUACGGGAGGCAGCAGUGGGGAAUAUUGCACAAUGGGGGAAAGCCCUCGAUGCAGCCAUGCCGCGUGUGUGAAGAAGGCCUUCGGGUUGUAAAGCACUUUCAGCGAGGAGGAAAGGGUGUGUGCUAAUACCAUACAUCUGUGACGUUACUCGCAGAAGAAGCACCGGCUAACUCCGUGCCAGCAGCCGCGGUAAUACGGAGGGUGCGAGCGUUAAUCGGAAUUACUGGGCGUAAAGCGUGCGCAGGCGGCCAUUUAAGUCAAAUGUGAAAUCCCCGCAGCUUAACUUGGGAAUUGGCAUUCGAUACUGGAUGGCUAGAGUAUGGGAGAGGAUGGUAGAAUUCCAGGUGUAGCGGUGAAAUGCGUAGAGAUCUGGAGGAAUACCGAUGGCGAAGGCAGCCAUCUGGCCUAAUACUGACGCUGAGGUACGAAAGCAUGGGGAGCAAACAGGAUUAGAUACCCUGGUAGGCUCUG
rnacentral:rRNA from 1 species